rnacentral:rRNA from 1 species
ACGAACGCUGGCGGCAUGCCUAACACAUGCAAGUCGAACGAUUGCCUUCGGGUGAUAGUGGCGCACGGGUGCGUAACGCGUGGGAAUCUGCCCUUAGGUUCGGAAUAACAGCUGGAAACGGCUGCUAAUACCGGAUGAUAUCGCGAGAUCAAAGAUUUAUCGCCUGAGGAUGAGCCCGCGUUGGAUUAGGUAGUUGGUGGGGUAAAGGCCUACCAAGCCGACGAUCCAUAGCUGGUCUGAGAGGAUGAUCAGCCACACUGGGACUGAGACACGGCCCAGACUCCUACGGGAGGCAGCAGCGGGGAAUAUUGGACAAUGGGCGCAAGCCUGAUCCAGCAAUGCCGCGUGAGUGAUGAAGGCCCUAGGGUUGUAAAGCUCUUUUACCCGGGAAGAUAAUGACUGUACCGGGAGAAUAAGCCCCGGCUAACUCCGUG